GACGAACCAUGCAAACGUUAUUCGGAUUCACUGGGCUUAAAGCGUGCGUAGGCGGUCUUGUUAGUCAGGUGUGAAAGCCCUCAGCCUAACUGAGGAAUUGCGCUUGACACUGCAUGACUAGAGAAUGAUAGAGGUGGGUGGAACUGAUGGUGGAGCGGUGAAAUGCGUUGAUAUCAUCAGGAACACCAGUGGCGAAGGCGACCCACUGGGUCAUUUCUGACGCUGAGGUACGAAAGCUAGGGUAGCGAACGGG
rnacentral:rRNA from 1 species